rnacentral:rRNA from 1 species
CAGCAGCCGCGGUAAUACGUAGGGUGCAAGCGUUAAUCGGAAUUACUGGGCGUAAAGCGUGCGCAGGCGGUUCGCUAAGACAGAUGUGAAAUCCCCGGGCUUAACCUGGGAACUGCAUUUGUGACUGGCGGGCUAGAGUAUGGCAGAGGGGGGUAGAAUUCCGCGUGUAGCAGUGAAAUGCGUAGAUAUGCGGAGGAACACCGAUGGCGGAGGCAGCCCCCUGGGCCAACACUGACGCUCAUGCACGAAAGCGUGGGGAGCAAACAGGAUUAGAUACCCGCGUAGUCCCUGUCUCUUAUAC